UACAGAGGUCCCAAGCGUUGUUCGGAUUCACUGGGCGUAAAGGGUGCGUAGGUGGUGAGGUAAGUCGGAUGUGAAAUCUCCGAGCUCAACUCGGAAAUGGCAUUGGAAACUACCUUGCUCGAGGGUUGGAGGGGGGACUGGAAUACUUGGUGUAGCAGUGAAAUUCGUAGAUAUCAGGAGGAACACCAGUGGCGAAGGCGGCUUUCUGGACGAUAACUGACGCUGAGACGCGAAAGCGUGGGGAGCAAACAGG
rnacentral:rRNA from 1 species